GUCGUAACAAGGUUUCCGUAGGUGAACCUGCGGAAGGAUCAUUACCUAGAGUUUGUAGACUUCGGUCUGCUACCUCUUACCCAUGUCUUUUGAGUACCUUCGUUUCCUCGGCGGGUCCGCCCGCCGAUUGGACAACAUUCAAACCCUUUGCAGUUGCAAUCAGCGUCUGAAAAAACAUAAUAGUUACAACGUUCAACAACGGAUCUCUUGGUUCUGGCAUCGAUGAAGAACGCAGCGAAAUGCGAUAUGUAGUGUGAAUUGCAGAAUUCAGUGAAUCAUCGAAUCUUUGAACGCACAUUGCGCCCCUUGGUAUUCCAUGGGGCAUGCCUGUUCGAGCGUCAUUUGUACCUUCAAGCUCUGCUUGGUGUUGGGUGUUUGUCUCGCCUCUGCGUGUAGACUCGCCUUAAAACAAUUGGCAGCCGGCGUAUUGAUUUCGGAGCGCAGUACAUCUCGCGCUUUGCACUCAUAACGACGACGUCCAAAAGUACAUUUUUACACUCUUGACCUCGGAUCAGGUAGGGAUACCCGCUGAACUUAAGCAUAUCA
rnacentral:rRNA from 1 species